rnacentral:rRNA from 1 species
ACAGUCACACGAGUUUGCUCCAUGAUUCAGCGGCGGACGGGUGAGUAAUGCCUAGGAAUCUGCCUGGUAGUGGGGGACAACGUUUCGAAAGGAACGCUAAUACCGCAUACGUCCUACGGGAGAAAGCAGGGGACCUUCGGGCCUUGCGCUAUCAGAUGAGCCUAGGUCGGAUUAGCUAGUAGGUGAGGUAAUGGCUCACCUAGGCGACGAUCCGUAACUGGUCUGAGAGGAUGAUCAGUCACACUGGAACUGAGACACGGUCCAGACUCCUACGGGAGGCAGCAGUGGGGAAUAUUGGACAAUGGGCGCAAGCCUGAUCCAGCAAUGCCGCGUGCAGGAUGAAGGCCUUCGGGUUGUAAACUGCUUUUGUACGGAACGAAACGGUGAGCUCUAAUACAGUUUGCUAAUGACGGUACCGUAAGAAUAAGCACCGGCUAACUACGUG